rnacentral:rRNA from 1 species
CGAGUCAUUGGGUGGAAAACCUAAAGGCGAAAUGAAAGUGCCUCGAGGUCGCUACGCGUCCUCGGGGGGAGGAUGGGCCCCCCGGUCUCCGGGCCGGAGCCCCGCACUCCCGGGGCGUCUCACUCUCGACUCGAGACGAGACGCACCAGGAGCUGCACACGCUGUUACCCGAAAGAUGGUGAACUAUGCCUGGCCAGGACGAAGCCAGGGGAAACCCUGGUGGAGGUCCGAAGCGAUUCUGACGUGCAAAUCGAUCGUCUGAGCUGGGUAUAGGGGCGAAAGACCAAUCGAACCAUCUAGUAGCUGGUUCCCUCUGAAGUUUCCCUCAGGAUAGCUGGCACUCAGGAAGAGACGAGUCUCAUCCGGUAGAGCGAAUGAUUAGAGGUGAUGGGGUCGAAACGACUUCAACCUAUUCUCAAACUCCCAAUAGAUGAGAGCCCCGGCUUGCUUGAAAGUGAAGCCGCGGGACCCGGAUCGGAGAGGCCAAGUGGGCCAAUUUU